rnacentral:rRNA from 1 species
AAUAUUGCACAGUGGGCGAAACCCUGCUCCAGCCAUGCCGCGUGGGUGAAGAAGGUCUUCGGAUUGUACAGCUCUUUACGUUGGGGGGAGAGGCAGUAAGUUAAUACCUUGCUGUUUUGACGUUACUGACGGCAUAAGCAGCGGCUAACUUUGUGCCAGCAGCCGCGGUAAUACGAAGGGUGCAAGCGUUGAUCGGAAUUACUGGGAGUAAAGGGCGAGUAGGUGGUUUGUUAAGUUGGAAGUGAAAGCCCGGGGCUCAACCGGGGAACUGCUUUCAAAACUGGCAAGCUAGAGUAUGGCAGAGGGAGGUGGAAUUUCCUGUGUAGCGGUGAAAUGCGUAGAUAUAGGAAGGAACACCAGUGGCGAAGGCGACUACCUGGACUGAUACUGACACUGAGGUGCGAAAGCGUGGGGAGCAAAC